GUGCUCGCUUAGGCAGCACAUAUACUAAAACUGGAACGAUACCAAGAAGAUUAACAUGGCCCCUGUGCAAGGACAACAGGCAAAUCUGUGAAGUAUUCCACAUUAAA